CUGUUUGAAUCGGUGGGAGAGAGAGCUGGGCAGAGACGGGGGCGAGCACAUCGAAGACGAUGGCCUGCGAUGUCGCCGCCGACGAGCCACCAGCCAUCCCCACCGUACUGGAGCUUCGCGCGCUCGACAAGGCCCCCACCGUCUGCCCCGUCCAGGAGCCCCGCGCGCCCGACAAGUCCCCCGCCGUCUGCACCAUCCGGGAGCUCCGCGCAGGCGAAGCACCGUCCGCCAUGGGCAGGGCCCCCGAUCUCUGCGCCGGAGACACUGAGCACGCGGCACGCGAUAGAUAGCCUUGCAGGACAUCAGAGAGCAGAUAACACAUUGGCCACAUCUCCAGUAAACGUGGCAAUCAUACUAAAUCAUAAAAGGAAGUAUGAAUGCAAUGCUUGAGAAGACUAGGACUCUGAAAACUGACACGAAGCAGAGUUAUGUGCUUGUAUGGAGGGAAUAUUCAUUGCCAUUCAGAGAUCAGAGUUGCCUAUUUGUGUGAAACUAGACACGCUAUCAGUAGUGAACGUGCUCAAGGAGAAGGAUCUAGACAGAUCAAUGUUUGCAUCAUUGAUUGCUGGGAUCAAUCAUCUUUUGCCUCCUCGUUUUGGUUCCGGCUUGCGAGAGGUAGUAAAGCAGAUUGUAAUGAUGACGCUAUUUGAUUAAUGCAAGAUUUUACCCGUAAAAAAAGACAUAUAGGACAAGAUGUUCUCAACACGCAUGCCGUUACUACCAUAAGCUUGACAUUCCAUAUCUUGUAAGCUCCAAUGCAAUUCGUCAACCAUGUUUGAAUUGGUAUUUACUUUCUGAUCAAACGAAUCAGCUAUUUUUAUGUUUAUAUUGAAGCAACACUAAUAUGACAAGGGAAAAUGAUGCAGAAACUUAACCUCAUGACAAUUGUAUAAAAAACCUAUUUUGCAGGUACACGUGAUGCGAUUGCCACAAUACAACUGGCCAAGCAACUGGAUAGGUGGUCAAGACUAGAGAAAAUGGGUGAAGUCUUCUUGGUUAGGUUGUGGGAUUAAUGUGGCGCGUGCGGUCGAUCGUACGUAAGUACGCAGCGAGUGGGAGUGGGACGACGAGACGAUGGACAGAUGAAGAAGUAGCGGGGCGUUUACGCCACGGCCAUGAAUCAGCUUCUCGUCGCAUCAUCUCUCAUAUCUCACCGGAAAGAUAUGAAUUGCGGCAACAGGGAGAGAGAAGACCACAAUCAGCUGGGAUCGCAACGUGGAGUCGUGGACAGGCAGUCUUGCUUCUUUGUUAAUAUCACUGAACAUUAGUUGUGCAAGUAUCUUUUUUGCAAUUACUAUGAGACAGUAAGGGGGCACGCAAGCGUGUUGUGCCCGGCCCGAGUGAAUUUUGAUUAGCCGAUGGCGAUCGAUCGAUAGCUCGACUAGCUAGGUUUCAAUUAUUCUUCAACACGUGCCGUGUGUCAUCGAUCCGUCUGUACGGUGCAGUGCUAAGCUUU